CUCCAGAGGUCCGAGACCUCUAAUUUUACACUUUUCUUUUGUUACAAUUUUUUUUCUCUUUCUCUUGUACUUAAGAAUUAUUUAAUCAAUGAAAUCGGAUUCCUCUUUACAGAGAGCUCCUUUUUCUUCUUCUACUUCUUUUUUCCUCUUUUUUUUUUCUUGCAAUGAUUUGCGUUGUGACGCUCUUGUUUCCUGACAAUAGUGCCCUAUUGAAGCUCUGCCCCUACUGUAGGAGAUUCU
rnacentral:lncRNA from 1 species